UCACUUCCUUCCAAUAUUAUAUAUUACUCAAAGCAGACUUUUUCUCCACCCUCUCUCGAAACCGAUGACACGAUUUUCUUCCCACUGAUAGUCAAUCACUUUUCUUUCCAUUUAAAAUCAGAGUAAGAGCACAAAUUUUCAACCGGUUUCAGGAAUCGCUCUCUACAUCAAAUCUCGGUUCUCUCGGUCAACAUUCUGAGCAAAGCUAAUCUACCCAUUUAAGCUUUCUGAUUUCAAGUGCUUUUUGUAUGUGUUUAACUACUUUGGUGAAACACUUAACUUAUUCUCUUUUAUCAUGUUAAUUAAUUCCUUAUUCCCUCUCAUAUUUUGAUUAUUUAUACCUUUGUGAUAGAGAUGUGGCCGAGGGCAAAACAAGGGCCUAUAACAGACAUUCUUGGAACUUCUAUUGGUUCAUCAUUUAUACUUAACGUAUUAUUUUCGUCUGCUUUUUGUGUUAGUUAUUUUAUGAAUCAUUUAGGGAAAAUGCUUUAUUGUUGUUGGUGACGCCUUUCAACUGUUAGAGAGACUUAUUUUGCCUAUUAUGUAAUAUGGAUUCUACAUUUUAAUUUUGAUGUUAGGAGAUAAAUUUGACGUUAUUGGCAGCAAGUGUCGCCCUCUUAGCUACCUGUUUAUGUCAUACUGGAUUUUUAUAUAUGGCAAGUGUUAGUAUAAGAGAAUUUAUGCAUCUUAAAAUAUAUCAGUUUAAGUACCACGUCGAGGAAACAGGACAACUCAAACUAAUUCAAUGCCAUGUCAUUGCGCGUGCAGCUCACUGCUGCUAAUCACUUGCUAACAACUCAAAAUGAUAUGACAAGGGUUGGAUAGCUUGUGACUUUUUAUCUGUUACACCUCAGAAGGUUGAUAAUGUAUAGAAAUUACUGUUAUUUUUCUGGAAUUUCUCAUGUGGAGAAUGUAAACCAUAAGAAGAGGGCCAAGGCACUUGGAGCAAAUGUAAAGAAGUUGUGUCGUCAGUAGAACCUUCAACACACCACAACCACCAUCAUGCAAAAAUUAAAGGUGCUGGAAUGACAAGAUCAAAUCCGAUAUUGCAGUCUCAGCAGCUGAAAAAAGCACUUGAGCAGCUCAAACACAAUGAAUUCACUGGAAAGAGAACUGCAAGAUAAUUUCUUAAUGUUUCAAAUGUAUUUAAAGAGGGAAAAAAUUAAAAGUUUAAUUCAGUCCUUUAAAAUUCAAAGCAUUCAAAUGGCAAUAAAGUAUGUAGAAUGAGGGGAAUAAUUCUAUAUAAAGAAGAAUAUCUCAUUAAAUUAACAUGUGAUUUGUUAUCUUGUAGAAUAAUUUUUUUCCCCAUCUUUUACUUCUAAAAGCUGUUAGCCACAAAAUGUUAGACAAUGAUAGAUAGAAUCAAGAAGGCAUUAGUCAACUCAUGCUCUUUUCUCCUUAUUUCUUUUCUGUUCUACGUAUGUACUUGAUUUGUGUUUCUUUUUUAUGAGUAGUUCUAAUAUAUAAAUUUAGUUUUGUUGGUAUGAGACCUUGGAAUUAUUGGCCAUCAGGACACUUACCAACUUAUGAUGCCUUUGUAUUUCUAUAUCAGCUUGGACAAUGUAACUAUGGUACGUAUUUAAAAAAAUAAUCAAUGAUUUGCUUAACAAAAGGAUGUCAUACUCUGUUAGUAGCAUUUUGGAUUGACACCCCUUGGGAAAGUUGAAAUGCAUACA